UGAACUAAAAAAUAUCGAUAUUCCAAAUAUCGAUACUGUAUCGCCCAUCACUAGUUGGCGUACAGUCCGGUACACCACGGUGCACAUUAGCAUUGAUUAGCAUUAGAAUAAUUUUUUGCAGUGUGAUCAAAGUGUCGUGAUUAAUUUUAUAACUUGUUUAAAACAGUUUCCCUAAAAAUGAUGCAAUUUAUGUUACUGUUCAGUCGCCAAGGAAAAUUACGUUUACAAAAAUGGUACGUGGCUCAUCCUGAUAAAUUAAAAAAGAAAAUUACACGAGAAUUAAUUACCACAAUAUUGGCCCGAAAACCUAAAAUGUCAAGUUUCUUAGAGUGGAAGGAUGUUAAAGUUGUCUAUAAAAGAUAUGCAAGUUUAUACUUUUGUUGUGCAAUAGAACAAAAUGAUAAUGAAUUAUUAACCUUAGAGAUCAUACAUCGUUAUGUUGAAUUACUAGACAAAUAUUUUGGAAGUGUAUGUGAAUUAGAUAUAAUUUUCAACUUUGAGAAAGCAUACUUCAUCUUAGAUGAGUUAUUGGUCGGAGGUGAAAUUCAAGAAACCAGCAAAAAAAACGUUUUAAAAGCCAUUGCAGCUCAGGAUUUACUACAGGAGGAUGAAGCUGUGGAAGGUGCUCUGCGGGAGAUAGGGCUUUUGUAGGUGCUGCAUUCUUGCAUGCCCUCCAUGGCCAGUCUAACAGCCCACAUGAAUCAAGACCUGGAGCAGGCUCACCCGCUGCAUGAUGCCAUCAUACAUCUCUACUUUUUCUAUAGAUAUUGAACAUCAAUUUUUUACUUACCACUGAUAAUCGUUACAAAAAUUAGUGUAGGAAUCGUUAGCAUAUUUUUAUAUAGAAAACAAAAAUGCUAUUAACACAAAAUGAACAGAGUAAUAUAAACAUAUAUAUUGUAUAUCAUAUAUCACUCUGUUACAUGUAUCGAACAAAAUAUCCUUUUAGUUAUAAAACUACUUUCCCUUUCAUAACUUAGCAAACAAUAGCUUUAAAAUAAUUAGUCCCGUACUAUAGCAAUAAAGUUAUACAGGUUCAAAAAUUGUUUCUUUUAUGUACGUACAUAGAAAAUUAUUGGCGUACCAUCUAUAACAUUUUUAAUCACAUUACACUUUGUAUAGUACUUUUCAUGUUUGUCUACUUAAAAAAUAUUUAUUUUAGUAUUUAAUUAGAAAUGAACAUUUGAAAGUGUCGUUUUUAUAUGUGUAUAUGUGUAUAUACAUAAACAGUGUCAAUUUUUAAUAUUAUAAUUUUAACACAGUAAUGAUAUAUACAAUAAAAUGUAUACAAACGAAUUUUUAUAUAAUUGUAUACGAGAUUAUAUAGAACCUUUUCCAUGUAAUUAACCCAUCUAUGUAAUUAUUGUUAUUGUAUUUCCUCUUUCAGGUUUUAUUAAGAUAUUUUAUCCCUUUCCAUUUCAAAUAAAAACAUCAUUAGAAUUAUUAUUUAUUCAUUGUUUGUUAGGAAGAUUUUUUCUCCAUUAAAGUUUGUCAAAUGUACAAUAUGUAUCCUUAUUUAAUCAUAAGCGCAGAGAUAUUCUGUAUGCAGCAUGCAAUACAGACAUUUCUUUGAUCAGUGCUUAAGCAUUUUAAACGAGGCAAUAAAUCAACAUGUGCUUUGUGCAGCUUUGUGUAUCCAUACAAGUAUAUACUCAGUUAUAUGAAAAGGGUUCAGUUCACCAUUUGAGGCUGCAUCAAGGAGAUUACUUAAUUGCAAACUAGGAGGAAACUCCGCAGGGAUUCUUUGAAGAUCAUGGUUUGGGAUAAUAUUUUCUAAACAAUCUAUCCGAUUUAAUGUAAGUGAUCUGUUCUUGCAACAUUACUUCAACAUUCCAGAAUUAUAUUUACUUCUAAGUUUUAUCAAUUAUACUAAAAAAAUAUGCAUAGAUCUUGAUCAUUUGGAUCAUAAGCUUUUCAAUUGAAACUACAUAUAUUUUUCUCAUUAGAUCAAGUUGAAUUGUAUUAUAUUCCUUUAACGUAUAAGUUUACAUAGAUACGAUAUAAUAAUCAUUAGCCAUGGUCAGUUUUUAAAACUCAAUGAAAACUAGUUGCUAUUUUGGGAGAAACAUUUCUCCACUUUACAAAAAUAACAGUAGUACUAUGCUACAUACGUAUACGUGUUAAUAUUAUUUAACCCUCUAUGUUUUGUUUAUGUAUAAAGUAAACAAAAUUAUACAUACAUAGAUUAUUAUUGUUAAUCGAUUUCGUUUUAUCAUCUGCUUUACCCUCUUGUAUAGCUUAAUAUCUAUUAAGGAGUCUAUAAUAUUAAACAGUUGAAUUUAAGAUACUGAUGUCAUUAGAAUUCUGUUGAACUAGUUUAAAUAUACAUAUACAGCAACUAUUCUAUACAUAUAUACAUAUUCUUGUUCUAUAUUUGAAAAAUUAAAGAUUUAUUGAAAAAUAUAUAAGUGUAAAAGUUUGCAGUUUACUUGUAGAAAUAUUAUCAUAAUUAAUAACGCAGUUAAAGUUAUACUUUAUGCAAUCUAUAUUUCACAUUUCAGUAAGGAUGGUGGUGUUAGUACAUAGAGGGUUAAAUAGUAAAAGAAAAUUCAUAGCGAGGUGCUUGUCGAAAUUCGACUUACAUUUAAUUGUUUUGUUAGAUCGUAUUAGACGUAUAUACAUUACAUAUAUAUGUAUUCCAAAAUAUUGAUCGUUUAUUGAUCUUUAAUCAGUAGUGAUAUUGUUGCAUUUUAUAUACAUCUGUAUAAGUAAAAAAUAGUUAAUACAUUUGAUUCUUUUCAACAAAGAUCAAAUUUGAAUUAAUUAUUAAAUAAAAACGAAUAGAUCAAAGUAAAACCUUUUAAAAAUACAAACAACUCUGAUAAUUAUUAUCUUACGAAUACAAUUUUUUUUUCUAGAAUUCUAAUAGUGGUAAUAAUUUUAUAUAAUUAUGCUGAAGAUAUGUUAACAGCAAUUCUUUUAAAUAACUGCUUUUGUUGUUAUAUCAUCAACUUGUUUCUCCAUACGAUAAUUAUAUCAAUUAAAUGUAGAUACGUUUAUAUAGUUAUCAAUGAAAUAUAAUGAAAGAAGAUUUAUAGAAACAUUUUUAAAUCAUUACAAUUUAAUAUUGUAGUUAUUAACUACACUGUUUCUGCUGCAACAUAUUAUACAUUUUUUUAAUUCGUUAUUGUAAAAGAAAUAUAUACAUGUCUAAUAAUGGGCCCUAUCUGUAUAUCUAUGUCGCAGAAAUUUUCAUUAAAUAAUUACGCAAAGUUCUCUUAUACAGAAGGACCCAUCCUGACACAUAAGUAUUUAUUUAUUUUGAAAAGUAUGUUGAAUCAGAUUUAAAUCUGAAAAUUUCAAUUCUUAAUAUUAAUCGAUACACUGUUGUGCAUUUUUCAUAUAUUUGGGUCAUAAUUAACCUAGCCAUUGUCGUUCAAGGAUUAAUGAAAAUUGCCAGUACCGUUAAUAUUAUACUAAUAAUAGAAAAAGCAUUGCAUUAUAAAAUUAAAUGAUGAGAUUUUUGAUAAUCCUUAUAAAAAUCUUCACGAUACAACGUACUUUUCUAGAUAAAUCGAUCUAUAUUGGAAAAUUGUAUCGAUUUCGAUCAAACAUCAUUCCAAGCCAUUUUUCAUUCAUGUUCCUCUUAACGCGUUCAGCCCGGAAGUGUAUUGCUUUUUAACUUUUCCUGUAGCUUUUAACACAUUUCGGCCGACUUGGAUAGAUCUACUGAUCGAAAGGAAGCAUCGAGAUUUAAACCUGUUUUCCUAGGUUUGAACAUGUUAAAUUGUUGUCCUAGUUUAGAGUUUCACACCUGAUCGAUGGUAAUGGCUUAUCAGAACUUUGCCUGUUGAGCGUGGCGUCUUAUGAUGCCAUCAGGAUUGGUCGGGUUCGACCAGUUAGGCAUCUUACGAUGUCUGCCGGGCUGAACGCGUUAAUAUGUGCUAACGAGGUAUUUUUCAGGAUCGUUCUUUUCCGUAACGAACGAAAUCGAUAUUACAUGCAAGAUUCAUAGGCAGACAAGUUAGUAUCGUUAGUAUAGCCUAGUUAAUACCGAACGGUGAUAUUUUACGAGUCGUUUCGUGGAAACAAGCGAUCGUGUAAUAUCUCUGUCGAACAGUUUGGAAAGUUUGCAUAAGGACAAUAAGUUUUAAGCGUUACUAGUUGAAUGUUCGUUCGGUGUUCAUGGAUAUUGAUAUAAGCCAACACGAGGGCACGUGUUAUACAUAUCUGAAAUUUAUACACUAGCUGUCCUUAUUCUUCUCCGUUAAUUUCAACCGCUUUCCACGGAGGUGUGACGCAGAGAGCCUCAGAUGUGACCCACCCUAAAUGCAAUGAAAUUUCAUGGGUUGAUAGUUCAUAUAUCUAUAAACGUAAUUAUAAUUUCAGUAAGAGUUGGAUAGCCAAUUUUGAGGACAUUUGAAAAUUGCUGAAAUUGACUCAUUUGAUAAUGAUUGCAGCCUUUUUUUACAAUUUUGAGUGUACCGAUUGAGUGUACAAAAUUGCCUUGAUACUUAGGGCGGUACUUAUUAUAGAUAACAGGCCUAUCAACCUACCAGAUUUUAUUAAAACGGACAAGAACUACAUUUGAAACAUGCUCUGUAAGUCUAAUGCGUCAUGACGCACAUGUUCAUAAAUAAAACUUCAUUUAUUUGAACUUUGAUUAAAUGAAAUUUUAGCGAAUGCCUGAUUAAUUGAAUGUACUACGAACUAUAUAUUAUUAUAAUUUUUUAAUUUUGAUUAAACACCUGAAUACUCGUAAACUGUAGAACAAAGUAUUAAAUUAUUGCUGAUUAAGUGAUUGAUUUCUGACAUGAUUUUAUGACAUAAAAGUAUCAUGAAAUAGUACUUAUGCUAUAUCAUUUUGAAGCUUAAAGCUUCGUAAAAAUGCCUAUAUAAAUGUUUCAUUAAAAUUCUUAAUAUAAAAUGAAAGGGUUAUUAACUAGAGCAAGCAAUGCAUCAAAGUGAAGUUUAUGUAUUGUUCCUCUAUAAAAUUCAAUCAGGAUAUAUUGUGUCGAAGAAUAUAAUAUAAAUUCUAAUAAAACUUUACAGAAAUUUGAAUAUUUUGUAAAAUAAUCUGUCAUUUCAUCUGCAAUAAAUUAGUAGAAAAAUUUCAGACUCAAACUCUUAUUGGAAUGCGAACUCUUUGGGUGGUGAUUUAAUUUUAAAAACCAUAACAAAAUACUCCCACUUUUUUAAAUAUCUUAAUGAUUAUAAUUCUUUUUAAUCUUUAGAAAAUUUUAGUGUUUCACGAUUUUUUAACUUUUUUUUUAGGAGUACGUAUUUGACUGAGGAAUACCUACAUAUGUAUUCGUAAAUGAACAAAUUGUAAAUUUUUCGAAUAAUAUUUUAUUUUAUAAUAGUAUAGGAAAUGUAUAACAAGUUUGACUGGUUAAAAGUACCCAAGGAGUUAAUUGAACAUAAUAAAUAUAUUUUUAUCCAAACAUUCCAAUUUUCAAAUUAUAUUGUCUAUCAACAUAUUCAAAUAAAUGUAGUUUUAUUGUAGUUUAUUUUUAUUUUGCUUUCAAUCGUGUCAUUUUAUAAUUUUUCGAAGUUUUUUUUUUUAAGGAAAGAGGAUCUUUAACCAGAAUUUCCUCGUUAAGAUAUUUAUUGUGAAAUUGCUAGGCAAUAUUGAAUUUUAUUGUAGAUUAAACUCAUGCAAAACUGAAUGUUCAGGAAUAUGAGGAGAAAAUAAAUUUCAAUGAUUUCUUGAAAAUCAAGCACAUAUUGCCUGGAUUUCUUAUUCAUUUUCUUUGUAGCAUGUUAAUGGUGGCAAACGAUUUAACCAAAUUAAGUAUAAAUAGUUUUAAGUAAAACGACGAAUGGCUAUGUUUAGUUAGAGUCAAAUCUUGUAUUUUCGUUUAAGCAUUUAGUACACUAUGGUGCAGCUAAAAUUCUUUUGUACGUGAAUGAACUAUGUACUUACACAGGAGGGUUGGACAAAAUAAGGAAAACACAAAAUAAUUAUGACUGUUUGAGUUAGGCAUAUUCAUGAGUAAUGAAUAAUUUUUCAUUCGAAUAAAAAUAAGGUUAUUCGAAUAAAACUUCAUUCUUAAUUUUAUUAAAAAAUUAUUAUUAUUGUCCAAAGUUUUUAAUUUUAUUCAAAUAAUUUUUUAUUAAAAAUUAUUAAACAUACAAAUUGUUGCAAUGUUCCAUUUAAUUUCUUUGUAUUAUGAAUCUAGUAUUGAUAUUAUUUUAAUCUUUUUCCUUUAUUGAAUUAAUCAAUAGUACCAAUUGUUAUAUUUAACAAUAAACUUGUACCAGUAUUUUUCUUGAAAAAUAGUUUUAAGAUAUCAUUUUAUAGAUAAAGAUGGCUGUAUUCAAAAUUGAUCAUCAUAAUUAUAUUUAGUUUUCUUUAAAUUGUUUAGUAUUUUCAUUAUUUUGUACAUCCUCUGUACAAAUUUUUAUUAAUUUUAACAGUUUAUACUCAAUAACAGCGAACUCCGCAGUUUGUUUCAUAUAAUCAAAUCAAAAUUAGCGAUUAAGUGUUCGAAUUUAUUAUAACAUCAGGUAUACAGGAUUAAUGAAUCAAACAAGAAAAUUUAGGAUGAUAGGAAGCAAUGUUAAACAUAUGAACGUGUAUUUACGAUAAGUAUGUAUAUGAAUAUUGUAUUUGAAAAGACGAUGCUUUGUGCUCCGUCCAUAAUAAAGUAUGUGAUGUCAAAAAUA